GCCGAGAGCAAGCGAGGGCUGUGAGGACUGCCAGCACACUGUCACCUCUUACUACUUUCCCAUAAAUUCUUUGGCAUAUGAAGAAAGGGAAAGAGAGAGAAAGAAGAAAAGAAAGGGACAAAAGAGGGAAGAGAGGAAAAGAGGAAAACAUCAACACAGAAGCAGAAAGGGUCCUCUCCCCAUGGCCACCGCAGCUAGGAAUAUGCGGAGUCACACUUGAAGCCAGCACAGCACUGGGUCACACCCAAGGCUUGCAGUAUUUCUGUGAAAGAAACAAAUGGCAUAAUCCAGUUAUUAGCAGCUGGCACAACAGGUAAAGAAUAUCACCAAUGACCAAGAGAAUAAGAAGGAAAUAAAACCAAAAACACAAACUAUUAAAUGUUGGAAUUAGUCAAAAGUUAUGAAAAUAUUGAUGAAUAAUAUGAGAAAAACAAAAAAUAUAUGGACAACAUAGUUGGAAGAAACAAAAAUAAUGGACAUAACUCAAAUCCAUACUGUUAUGGUUUGAAUAUGGUUUGUUGCUUCUGAAAUGCAUGCUGAAAUUUGACUACCAUUGUGCAGUGUGUGAGGUGGGACCUAAUGGAAAGAGUUGGGUCAUGGGGUUAUGUUCUUUAUGAAU
rnacentral:lncRNA from 10 species